CCAGACUCCUACGGGAGGCAGCAGUGAGGAAUAUUGGUCAAUGGCCGCAGGGCUGAACCAGCCAAGUCGCGUGAGGGAAGACGGUCCUAUGGAUUGUAAACCUCUUUUGUCGGGGAGCAAAAGACGCCACGUGUGGCGUUCCGAGAGUACCCGAAGAAAAAGCAUCGGCUAACCCCGUGCCAGCAGCCGCGGUAAUACGGAGGAUGCGAGCGUUAUCCGGAUUUAUUGGGUUUAAAGGGUGCGUAGGCGGAAUAUCAAGUCAGCGGUAAAAAUUCGGGGCUCAACCCCGUCGUGCCGUUGAAACCGAUGUUCUUGAGUGGGCGAGAAGUAUGCGGAAUGCGUGGUGUAGCGGUGAAAUGCAUAGAUAUCACGCAGAACUCCGAUUGCGAAGGCAGCAUACCGGCGCUCAACUGACGCUCAUGCACGAAAGCGUGGGUAUCGAACAGGAUUAGAUACCCUAGUA
rnacentral:rRNA from 1 species